UGCAUUAAGGCCUCCAUCCAAUCCCAGAAGUGGUGAAUUUGAAGUUGCCUAGGUUGAUGCUGAUAUGUGUAUCACCAGAGGAAAUAGAGGAGAGCUCACGGUUUAUGUGAUCUCGUAAUUUAUUUUCCUGUGCAGUUUCUCUACCAUCUCUUCACAUUCAAGGUUCUCUAUUCAUCUUUCUAUAUCAAAAAGCAUCUUGUCUAUCUAUUUUGUGUUCUGUAUGGUAAGAUGUUUUUCCCCCCCGAGCAACAAAGAAACCAUUGUUCAAAUGUAAAUUUUUAACAUUUCACAUGUAGACCUCUUAAAGUGCAAUUGGCAGAAUUUGAUACUCUUUCUGACCUUUUUGCAAUUGCAUUUCCCCAGUGGAUCUAUGCUACAAUCCCUA
rnacentral:misc_RNA from 1 species